CUACAAAAAAAUUUGUCUCUUGCGACUGAUUUGUAGCGGCUGCUGUCGCCGCUAUCAUAUUUUCCAGAUACUUUGUGGCUGUUAUCCUAAACCGUCGUGACUUUUUCUACUUUUCGCGCACUCAUAUUCGCUCUAUUUUUCUCUCCGGAAUUUGAAUUUUUCUCAAACCCUUCGUUCUUCACAUAUUCAUUCAAAAUCGAUUCCUUCAAUCCCUUCGUUCUUCACAUAUUUUUUCUCAAACCUUCGUUCUUCGCAGAUUUGUUCAAUCACUCACNNN
rnacentral:lncRNA from 1 species